UCCGUCCUGUUGAGUUAGUAACUCGAGGUAGAAAAGGAGGAGCAGAAAAGGUAGAAAAUAUGUAAGCUAGCCGCACAUUGUUGAUAUGCGCGGUAAUAAAUUCAUGUCGCUGCUCUAGAUCUAGCAGUUCAGAGGAGAGGGUGAGCUGCAAAGUAGCUCGUCCUGUUGUCGUGUGCGGCGGCGAGGCCUCGCCGCUGGUAGAGAUCAAGGACCAGCUGCCCAUAGGCGAAGGGAAGAAGGGAUGUGGCAGAUCGACGGUUGGGCUAGUGAGCCCGUGGGCGAUUGGAGAAAAGACGAUGGUCGGAGCAGCGUUUGACACAGUGAGUCCGUGGUUCGUGGGCGAGGGGGAGAGGGGCGAUGGCAAGAGCACUGAUUGAAGAGGAAGAGGAACUCAAUUUUGCCGGCAAGGGGAAGAAGGCUCAUGCUGAAGAAGCAGUUGAACAGAGGAAGGGGAAGCCAAUCUUGCCGGCGUGUGCGAUAAUGUGGAUCAACCGGUAGUCAAGAUUCAGCAUCCUGGCAUAGCUGAUCUUAUCUAUUGGCCCGAGGAGACCUGGCCUCGCAUCUGCUGGGUAAUCGUGUCCCUGUGAACCUUAAUCUGUCCAAUACUCAAAACCGGAGGUCACCAAAAAGAAGGAUCAGCAUGUCUGGCUAGAACCGGCAGCUCCAUCUCCAGUAGGGUCACAGAGGAGAGGAGGCUGAAGUUCUAGACCAGGAUACCAGCGCUCCAAGCCGAGACUGACGCCGCAUCCGAACGCGCAGAGCCUGUAGUACUUCCAGCGGGCAAAGUUCUGGGUGAUAUUUUCACCGUUGUGUUUGAAAUAUGAACCAAGAAGACCAGAGAAGGUACCGUUGCUUCCUUUCUUUCUGAUCUGUAUAUAGGUGACAUGGAGAUGGAGGGGAGAAGAGCCAAACAAUUUUAGAGGAAUAGAUCACAUAUUCCACCAAAUUGCAGAUGGAAAAAAGAAGUUAAUAUCACACAUUACAUAGAAGUGGAGAGGAAAAAGGAACGUUUUUCUACAAAGUACAUUAAUGUGUGCCUUUCUCAAGCAAUACAAAAUCUUACAGAACCAUGCAUCUCCUCAGUCCACAGUACACAAUGAUGCUUCUCUGUUUUGGAGCCCAGCCAGAAUGACAUAUCAAGAAUGAUUAAAUUGAUCAAAAAUGCUAUUUGGUACAAAAAUCUGUCUUAGGAUUUGACAAAACCAGAAAAUUAUAUACGAUACUAGCAGUAUUCACCUCAAAUUAUUUUAAGCAAUUCUCUAGCAUUAAUAACUUCUAUAUGUGGUGUUAGAUCAACUUAAAUAGUAGUGCCCAAAUAGCUAGCUCCUAGAAACCAUCCCCUCAUUGAUUAAUUCAAACCCAUAAUAACAGACUUUAAUUCUAGAGGGCAUCCUAAUUCAGAUGAACACCACAAGGUACUGCAAUUUGUUUUCCUCCUGACGCUGCUACCCGUGCGCGCACAGUUGCAGCUACCGCUGCUUUUUUCUGGUCUGCAUAUAGAGGUGAGGAAGAUACUGGAACACCGAACAGCUUACCAGCGAGUUGCCGGUGGGUGAUGGGUCGUGUCCAAUCUAAUCGGCGCCCUCGCUAUGGAAGCAUAAGUAGAGCGAGGCACGGGGAUGCGACGACAGGUAAAGGUGAUCCCUCCCAUUUGCUGUCCAUUGUUAGGUAGAAGUGCCCUGUCUCAGCUCCAACACCCAGCACCUGACCCUCAAGCGGAUGCUGCUUGGUGAAUUUCAAGCUUAGAUGGGUUUGUCACUUAAGUAAGUCUGCAAGCAAAAGAAUAGUCAUGCAUAUAAGAUAAAUAAAGGAAACAAGCUGCUACCAGAUAAAAUUAUACACUCGGCUAUUACAGAUCAAUUUCAUUGGUAAUUAAGUAUAAUAAAUCAUAUAAAUGGUUUGAAUAUUCUGUUUUAGUUGGAUCCUAUUGCGAAAACAGAAGAUAUUAGAGAUAAGAUAUAAGAAUUUUUUUGCAUGAGAUAUUGGAUAAUCUUUAUAUCAACUAUGUUUUUUCCUGAAGAUGGUUUUUGUGUCACAACUCUUGAAAUCCAAGUGAUAAGAAUUUAUUUUCUCCACCUGUAAAUACACAAUAUUUUAUUUGUACAUAAAGAGGUGUACUCAUUUAGUCAUUGGCUCGUAUAUGUACUUUGAGAGACAUUCCAUCACACCCUGGCUGAACAAUUGGAGAGUGAGAAACCUAAAAGUAUUCUAGUCAUAUCUCAAUGCAGCCCAGAUAUACUAUCUGCUCAUAUAGCUAGAUCUGUACUGUAUCUAUUUACUCAUGCAUAUUAUUGAAAAGAAAUAGCAAAAAAAAAGAGUGUCAAAUACAACAACCAUGCACAAGAGACCCUGACUGGAGCAGGAAAGAUGCAGGUAUGGAAUCGAGAUGCAGGUAAGGAAACUAAAGGAAGAAAAUAAGGGAGCGGACCUGGUGGAUCUUGACGCACUUGGCGUCAGGUCAACAGCAAGAGCAGGCAGGCGGAUGAGCUGUUGGCGACGACGUCGUCCGGGUUAUCCCCCCACGGGUCCGCCCAUCCUCGUCGCCGGAAUGGACCGAUGGCAGUGAACAGGUCGUUGAUGCAGCUGAACCGACGGAUGCGGAUGAACGUGGACCAGGCGGAGUAGGAGGCGUAGCCGUGCCACCUAGGUGAAGGGCAAGCUGGAAGGCGGUAGCCCCAUCAUCGAAACUGUCACACCUGCCCCUACCGUGCCGGUGGACAACGAGUCUCUACUCCGCACAAGCGUCGAAGUGGGACCAGAGAGCAAAGGAGGACCAACCAUCAGUGACUAAAGGCUAUCUUGUGUGAGUGCAUUAGCUAAGUUGUGGGCCAGGGUGUCCCAGUU